rnacentral:misc_RNA from 1 species
CCAAUUUUAAAACUAUCUAUUGCUUAGUUCUGUACUUUCGCUUCCCACCUCCAACCCAACACACACGCACUGAUUUCUUCAUUCUUGGAUUGGAUUCCGUGACCGCCGUUGGCGGUUCCCACCUCACUUUCCUAGAAUAUUACACCCUUUCUUGGGUUCAUGGAAACAGGCAACAACGCCAAUAAGUUGCAGAAGAAGCACAAAUGGUUCCUUUUGUUAAUCUUUUCUCUCUUAUUCUCUACUCUUUUGAUUCUUAUUACGAUUACUUCUUCAUCCACUUCUACCCAGUUUCUCUUUCGCCGCCAGCGUGGGAACACUAAUCAUCUCCGCCCUCGGUUUCCGCUUUUUGUGGAAUCUAAGUUGCCUAAGCCUGUGGUUUCAGAAAGAACAAUACCUCGUCUCGCGUAUUUGAUAUCUGGGUCUGCAGGGGAUGGAGUGAGCAUGAAGAGAACGCUGAAAGUGUUGUAUC